CCCUUAGUAACUGCGAGUGAAGAGGGAAGAGCUCAAAUUUGUAAUCUGGCAGUGUAUGCUGUCCGAGUUGUAAAUUCAAGAAGUGUUAUCCAAUGCUGGACCAUGCACAAGUCUCUUGGAAAAGAGCAUCAUAGAGGGUGACAAUCCCGUCUCUGGCAUGGRCUCCCAGCACUCCCUGUGUUACACUUUCAAUGAGUCGAGUUGUUUGGGAAUGCAGCUCUAAAUGGGUGGUAAAUUCCAUCUAAAGCUAAAUAUUGGCGAGAGACCGAUAGCGAACAAGUACCGUGAGGGAAAGAUGAAAAGAACUUUGAAAAGAGAGUUAAACAGUACGUGAAAUUGUUGAAAGGGAAACACUUGAAGUCAGUCAUGUUCAUCAGAAAUCAACCUGACCCUUGUGGUCUUGUGCACUUUCUGUUGGGCAGGCCAGCAUCAAUUUUGACCACUGCAAAAAGGCUUAGGAAAUGUGGCAUCCUUCUGGAUGUGUUAUAGUCCUGAGUUGGAUACAGUGGUUGGGAUUGAGGAACUCAGUGUGACCUUUGGGUUUGGAGGGUUUUACUCUCACAACACACACUUAGGAUGCUGGCAUAAUGGCUUUAAUUGACCCGUCUUGAAACACGGACCAAGGAGUCUAACAUACAUGCAAGUAUUUGAGUGGAAAACUCAAGUGCGCAAUGAAAGUGAAAGUUGAGAACCCUGUCGUGGGGUGCACCAACGCCCGGUCCAGAGCUUUUGUGACGGAUCUGCGGUAGAGCAUGCAUGUUGGGACCCGAAAGAUGGUGAACUAUGCCUGAAUAGGGUGAAGCCAGAGGAAACUCUGGUGGAAGCUCGCAGCGAUUCUGACGUGCAAAUCGAUCGUCGAAUUUGGGUAUA
rnacentral:rRNA from 1 species